rnacentral:rRNA from 1 species
UACACAUGCAAGUCGAGCGGGGAAAAGUAGCUUGCUACUUUACCUAGCGGCGGACGGGUGAGUAAUGCUUAGGAAUCUGCCUAUUAGUGGGGGACAACAUCUCGAAAGGGAUGCUAAUACCGCAUACGUCCUACGGGAGAAAGCAGGGGACCUUCGGGCCUUGCGCUAAUAGAUGAGCCUAAGUCGGAUUAGCUAGUUGGUGGGGUAAAGGCCUACCAAGGCGACGAUCUGUAGCGGGUCUGAGAGGAUGAUCCGCCACACUGGGACUGAGACACGGCCCAGACUCCUACGGGAGGCAGCAGUGGGGAAUAUUGGACAAUGGGGGGAACCCUGAUCCAGCCAUGCCGCGUGUGUGAAGAAGGCCUUUUGGUUGUAAAGCACUUUA